GGUCUUCUCCGCCUCCUGCUGAUGGAGACCCCCCCUCUUUGCGGUGCACGCUAGCUGCUAGCAGAAAAAUGGCAGGGGAUGAUGAUCAUGCGUGACCAGCGGCGUCCUCUACGUCAUUGCCUCAGCGUGACGUCACGAUAAUCAUCACCUGCGUAAAGUAUUAGAUGCAUGUUGACCUUUUAACCACAGACAAACAAACACAUUGAUCCUGAGGGAUGAUGGAGUCUGGGAGGCUGCUGGCGGUCCUUCUUUGGUAUUACAUCCAUGAUUUAAGAAUGGUGAUAGUUAUUUUCUUUUGUUUUAUUGUAGCUGUAGUUGCUCAGUAAGUUUUGAUUUUGGUUACUUGAGUAAAAUUAUAAUUUAUAUUUAC